GACUCCAUUUUUAAGUGUCAAACAGAAUCUGUGUAUUAGUUUCUUAAUGCUGCUAUAACAAAUUCCCACAGAUUUGGUGGCAUAAAGGAGCACAAAUUUACAGUCAAUCCACUCUGCGGGUCAGAAGUCUCCUAUGGUUCUCACCUGGCUAAAGUGAAGGCAUCAGUGGCCUGCAUUCCUUUCUGGAGGUUCUCAGAAAGAGUUCAUUUCUUGAUCACUUGGGUGUUGGAAAAGUUAGGAUCCAUGUGGUUGAGAUCGAGUUCUCUAUUUCCAUGUUGGCUGUCAGCUGGAGGUCUCUCUGAUGUUCUAGAAGCCUCUCUACCAUCCUUGCCUGUGGUCUGCUACAUCUCAGAACCAAUAAUGGGGCAUCAGAUUCAUGUCGUGCAGCCAUCUCUUUGACCACAACUGGGAAAUUUCCACUUUUAAGGCCUCUUAUGAUUUGGUUGGCCCGCUUUAUACAAUUAGAUUGGACCCAGAGAAUACCCUAGGUCAUUCAGGAUACUCUCCCCAUCUCAAAGUCCUUACCCUUAAUCACAUCUGCAGUGACUUCUUUGCCAUGUAUGAUAAAAUGGGCACAGACUCUGAAAUUAGGAUGUGGACAUAUCUGCAGGGGGUGGUCUGUAUUGUACAUACAAGUUAGAAUGUAAAAAUAUAUGACUCUGGCUUUUUUCUGAUAGAUUGUGGAUAAUUCAAAUUAAGUAUGCCAUGUACUCCAAAUUUCAUUGUUCAAAAGGUUAAAAGGCCUGAACACCUUGAGAGUGGGUAUGCUAAUUUCUUUCUUCAUUCUUUUGGCCUUCUGGGCCCUUGAGACAUACUUACUUCAUUAUUACUUUUUAAGCAAUGUUUUCAGCACAUGGUCUUAUUUUGCAGAAGCUCCAGCUUGGUGGUGUAAAAACCCCUUUUACCUUGUCAAAAGCUGACUGUCCAUUGAUGAGCUUCUGCUAAAAGAUCAAAUUCCAAGGUCAUGAUUUUCAUGACAUCCUUUUCUGUAGUGCCCUGUUCAGCCUGUUUAAUAUCCGACUUUUUCCAGAAGGCAUGUUUCUUCUCUUUGUCUUUCCCUCCAUCAUCGGCCUUGUCUCCAUCAUAAUAUGUUUUCCCUGCCUUGCAGGAUGUAUGUGUGUGCUUAUGGCUCCCACCGACCAUGAGCUCCUCCAUAGCUAGGAUUUGUUUUUAAACCUCUUUGUAUCCUUAGCACCUAAUACAGUGGCUGGUGGAAGAUAAGCAUGCAAUGGAUGUUGGUCGUAUUCCAGUGUGCUGAUUAAAAGAUGAGUAUUUGUCUGAUCUGUCACUCAAUAGUGAUCUGUUGGCCAAAACCAGGAUGCAAAACUUGGGGCCAGAGGCAGAGCCAUAAAUAGACACAGUUCUGGUACCCUAGGGGUUUACAGCCUAAUUUCUAGGGAAGCAUGAAAGCAGUACAUCUCUGACAAAAUGAGUCGUACAUUCCCCAUUAGGGGAUGAAUGCUAAAUGCUUCAUUUGAGGGCAGGGCAGGCCAUUGAAAUUAUUUAACUUUUAUCUCCUAAAUGCUUCCCCAGAGCUUCAAAAGAGAAGCCAAAUACUAUCCUUGUGUGUGCUGUCUUCAAUUUUAGAUUUACAGCAUUUCUUUUUUGUAAUGUGUGAUAUAUUAAGACCAGAGUAAACAUUGGCAACAUUAGUUGCAUCUAUAAUUGGGUAUACCCUAUUUCAUCUGUUUACUGGAAUAUCUGAAAAUUGAUUGCAGUUGACAAUUUGGGUUCACUUGGCUGAGUUCACUCUCUGUAAUAUCACUCCAAGGAAGAUGUCGUAAAUCAGGAAGAAGAAAAAUUAGUUUAGAAUGACUGAACUCAUAUGUGGAAUGAUUUAUGUUCAAAUUUCUAGUUGGUUUAGCAAACUUAUAUAAGAAAGUAAAAUACUGAAAUAAUUACAAUGCUAUUCUGAUAUUAACACCAAGCUUUCAUCCUUAAGGCAAAUAUUUGUGUUUUAGUCCUGGUCUUGGUAUUUUCUUUCAUAGUCAUGCCCUGACAUUUUCUUUAAGCUUCUGUAUUGUACAUCUGUUUCUGUCCUAAGCAAUCCACAUUUGAUUGGUUAUUACUGUAUUUUAAAUCAGGGAUAUUAUAUUAACCACAGAAAAUUAUGCUGCUUAUUUUUUUCUAAAGUUCAGGAUUUAAAGUUUAAAGCCAUCGGAGCUCUGUUUUUUUUUUUUUUUUAAACAGGCAUUUGUGCUAUUAUACAACUUUAUUGAAAUAUUGAUAUUUAGGGCUCUACUGACAGAAGAAAAAGUUAGCUAAAAGCUUUUCAUAAAGACUCACAAUCAAAACUCUAAGCUUUGCAGAAAGACAAAAUCAUUGUUUUAUCUGUUUUAUAUACCCAAUACAUUUUCAAGGCUGAGUUGAAUUUCUACACAAUUUUCUUUGUCACAGACUCAUGGCUUUUUAGGUUUCCUUUCCUUACAAAUGGAUUUUAUAUGCACACUAUUUUAGUUAUUUUUUUGCUGCAUAAUAAAUUUCCCCAAAACUCAGUAGUUUCAAACAGGAAUAAAUAUUUAUCAUUUCAUACAAUUUCUGUGGGUCAGGAAUUCAGGAGUGUCUUAGCUGGAUGGUUCAGGCUCAGAGCCUUUUGUGAGGUUGUGGUUAGAGUACCAGCGGAAGGCACAGUCACCUGCAGGUUGACUGAAGCUGGACCACCCUCUUCUAAGAUAGCGCCAGCAUUUGGAUGGCAGGUUGGUGCUGGCUGUUGUUAGGAGGCCCCAGUUCUUUGCUAAGUAGACUUCAUAGGGCUCCUUUUGUGUCCUCACGACCUAAUCACUGGCUUCUUCUAGGUCGUGAGAGGAUAAUCUUAGUCGAAGGCAGAUACCCCAGUGUCUUCUAUGGCCAAACCACAGCUACACAAGUCAUCCUAUUUGAUAUGAGAGGGGCCCAUAAAAGAUUGUGAAUGUCCAGGAGUGAGAAUCGCUGGAGUCCCUCUUGGAGGCUGGUUAUGACCACUGAUUCCUUUACCUUACUUCUUAGGCCUAUUUGGCUGAGUAAUGGUGAUUCUGCAAAAUUUGAAAGUAAAACUUCAAUUUAUUUAGGCUUGAAUAGAGAACCCAUGUUAGGAAGCAUCAGGAGCUGGUAGAAGGUAGGGUUAACAGUAUUGGAUAUAGUAGGGCUGAAUUCAUGAUUAGAGUAGCAACAGGAAUCUGGGACAGGAAGACAAUUCUAAAAUAGAGUAGGUAUUGAACCAAGUAGCCUCUUAACGUAGCUGCUUCCUUUAAGCAAGAAGUUCAUGGGGUGCGGUAGGAAGACAGGGCUCUAGAGACUGGAUUUCAGAGAAGAAAGCAGGUAUAUAACUUGCUAUUUAUCUUUAGAGAGAAUAAUGUAAUAGGCUUUUCUUGUUUGUGUAUAUGAUGAUGAUUUGGGUUCAGUAGUGACUUGGAAAACUGAUUUUAAUAACUUGAACAUUUGCAUCAAUAAACACCAAACAACUUUUGAUUGAAGAUAUGCUAACUCUAAAGUCACAGCAUCCAUUUUGCAAUGAAUAAUGAAGAUAUACUGAAUGUCUCAAAUCCCUGUUGGUAAAUUUGUUGCUUAGCAAUCUACACAGCUUUUUGAAUCUAAGUUGUCAUUCAGUGUUUUACCUACUGUGUGCAGUUUGAAUUUUAAAGACACUAAUUGCAGAUGCUUAUUUAGUGUUUAAUGUACACUAAGGCUAUUAUCUAGGUUUAUGGCAGCGACACAACUAUAAUAUACAUAGAAUCAAUUUAUAAAAACGAGAUGUGAAGUGAAGCAGGCUCGAGUGUCUGUCUCAGGUCUACCACAUUACUAGCUACAGCUGUGGGACAUUUGGUGAGCCGUCUGAUUUCUGUUAGCCCUAACUUUCUUAUUCAUAAAAUUAGGGUUUAAAAGAACCUACCUCAAAGAUUAUAGUGAAAGUUUAGUAGACAGUACUUGCCAAAUACUGAAUGUACCUAAGAGAUGGUGAAAACUCAAUAAAUGUUAGAUCUUAUCAUUCAUAUAAAUAUCUUUUUAAAAUUUCAAUUCAAUCAUUUAUUUGACAAUUCUUUAUUGAUUUCCUUUUAUGUACCUUUUAUUUACAGUUUUGAAAUCUGUGAGAAGGAACUGAAAAAAUGGUAAAUCCCUAUCCUAAUGGUGUGUUUACAACCAUAAAGUAAGCACAAAAAUACAAAGUGUUUAAGAUGGUGAUAAAUUCUAUAAAGAAAAUAAAACAGAAAAGGAGGAAAGCAAGUGCCGCCAGGGAGCAGAUGCUGUGUUGUGUAGGAUGGUUAAUGAAAUCCUCGCUGACAUUCGCCCAGAGGACCGAAAGAAGUGGUGGAAAGAGCAUACACCAGGCAAAGGGAGCAGCCAGCGCAGAGGUGCCGAGGUGGGAGCAUGCUUGGCUUUAGUAACAUCAGGGAGUCCACUCUGGAUGGAGCAGAGUGAGUCGGGGAGAAAGUGGUAGGAGGACGAUGUCACAGAAGCAGUGCCCAGCUCAUUAAGGGCUUUGUAGGUCAGAGUGAGGGGUUCGCCUUUAACUCCUAUGGGACAGAAAGACCCUGAAGGGUUUUGUGUGAAGGUGUGGCAUGAUCUGACUUAUGUUUUAUAAGGAGCACUCUGGCUACCAUGUAGUAAUAGAUGGCAGCAGCCAGAUUUAGAAUGAAAUAUUAGAGAUUGUCCAGGCACAAGAUAAUGGUUGGGUGGACGAGGGUGUUUUUGGUGGAGGGAGUAGAAAGAGGUCAGAUUCUGGGCAUAUGCUGAAAGUAGGCUUGACAGGAUUCAAAGAUCAUUCCAGUUAUCUUGGCUCGAGCAACUGGGCAGAGACAGUUACCACUUACUGAGUUUGGGAGUUUAUGGGAAAAUAUCUGACCAUCGGGAGCAAAUAUCUGCGUGCAGACAUGCAAAGUUUAAGAAGCUUUUUAGAGAUGUCCAAGUGGAGGUGGUGAGCAGACAGUUGGAUUUCUGAGCCUGGAAUUUGGGGCACAGGGUGGCGGUUGGGGAUGUGAAUUUGGGAGUUGUUAGUAAUUGAAUCCAUGGCUCCACCUGGAAAUCAGUGUAGAUAGUGACGAGACGUGGUUUGGAGCUGUGCCAUUGGGCAUGAUGAUGUUUACAGCACAGGAAUUUGAGGAGGAAACUUGAAGAACCUCUGUUAGGAGGAAAAGCAAGAGUGAUUUCUGAAGCCACAUGGAAGAGUGUUUUAAGAAAGAGGGGAAAUUAGUUAUAUCAGAUGCUGCUGAGGUAUCAACUGAGAUAUAACUGAGGAUUAACCACUAAUGUGUCUCCAUCACAGUGAACUAGGUGCUCCGUUCAACACUCUGCAGAAAACAAUUACAUAUUCUAGAUAUAGUGUUUUAAAAACUGUUUGCAUUCACCUUGAGCUGGCAAGAAAGCAAAGAAUACUCAAGGAGAAAAACUGCUGUGGUAAUGCUCUUGAACAGGCAGUGUGAGGAAGGAUCUGGGGUAGAGGUGGAGGAGGAGGCCCUAUCUAAAAGUCUAGACAUUUUGACAAAAGUAGCAGAAAGGAAGACAGACUGUCUGGGUGCAGAUGCAGGUGGCUGUAAGAUAUGGUGGUGGGAACGUGUAGUGUUCUUACAAUGAUACUUCCUGUUUUUUCUCAGUGAAGGCAGAAGUAAAACCAUUAUCUGAGAGCAAAGGGUGUGUGUGUGUGUGUGUGUGUGUGUGAGUGUGUCUGUGUGGGAGAGAGAGAGAGAGAGA